ACUUUUACCUGGCAGGGGAGAUACCAUGAUCACGAAGGUGGUUUUCCCAGAGCAAGGGUUAUCCAUUGCACUCCGGAAAUGCUGACCCCUGCGAUUUCCCCAAAUAUGGGAAACUCAACUGCAUAAUUUGUGGUAGUGGGGGACUGCGUUUGCGCUCUCCCCUG
ensembl:snRNA U1 U1 spliceosomal RNA